ensembl:lncRNA
AGUUUUUGUUCACCACUGUGCUGAAAUGGUUUUCAGCUGACAACUUAUGCUCAUAUGUAGCAUCUUUUAAGUCUUCGGCUUCGUAUCGGAAACACUUGUGCAAUUACAUUCUGUGCUUUACUGAGAGGAGAAGAGAAGCUCAGUGAAUUUCUCCUUGCAUAGGAGUUUGUGGCAGAACGAGAGGCUGAGCCCUGUUUCCUGCACCCAGACGCAGUGCUGCAAUCACAUGACCACUCCUCUGUAGGCACUUUCCUUGAAUGAUGUCUACCGUGGAAAUUAGUCUGAAGAUUUGAACGUAGCUUCCCAGUUCUGACACUGACACGGAGAUGUCAAUAUGCAUCAAUAUAGAGACUGGCAAUCCUUCUAGCUCAACAACUGCCUUGGAGAUUUAAUCAGUCUUGGAAGUACUACUUCACUGUCCUUCUACUGAUGAGAAGGUUGAGAGAAGCCAUUAUACAGGUGUGACAGUAAAGAAUGAAGCCUCUUUCCUCAAGCAAUAAAAUGUGAGCAGUUGUGGUAAUUUACAGACAUUUUAAUCCCUUGGUCUUAAUAUGGUUUUGAACUGAAAAGGUAUAGGAUCUGUUUCCUAGAGGUGGUAAGCUAGAUGGAAAUUUAUCCACAGCAGACAAUAAUAAUAAUUUAGAUAAUAAUUUAGAUAUUGAUACGAACAUUUAUUUCAUAGACUCAUAGAAUCACCAAGGUUGUAAAAGACCUCCAGGGUCAUCCAGUGCAACUGUCCACUUAUCACCAAUAUUUCCCACUAAACCAUGUCCCUCAGUACAACAUCUAAAUGUUUUUUGAACACCUCCAGGGAUGGUGACUCCACCACCUCCCUGGGCAGCCCGUUCCAGCAUCUGACAACUCUCUUAGAGAAGAAGUAUGGUCAUAUUUGCUUUAUGCAUCACAAGCUUUUAAUCUUCAAAACUUCUGAAAUUCAGCAAGAUGUCAAAAGAGCAACAGCAGUUUAAAUUCUACUGUAGGAGCAUUAGAGCUCUGGAGACAACCAGGGUAAGCUCUUACUCCUAUAAAAGCCAUGGCAGAAUGUUAAUCAUUCUUAAAACCGGAGCUGAGCACUUUGGAUCAGUGGUAUUAAUCUCUGAAAGGUGAAUGUUGGCAGGUGUUUUCUCAGGUUCCGUUCUUCAUCCUCACUGCAGCAGUCUCUCCAUUAAAACACCCUAUUAGAGUUGUAAGCUGUAAAUAUGUCAGGAACACAUCAUAGCACCAUACUACAUGUAACAUUUCAGAUUUGAGCAUAUCUUAGCAUAUCAUGUGGAGAUCUCAUGGGGCAACACCAGUAGGUAUAUUGCAUUUUCCUCAUCCCUCUUGUUUCAAUAGAUUUUUCCAACAACCUGAAACAGUAGGUCACUUACAUGAAAUGCAUGUCCCAGAUCUUUUGAAUUUCUCUGAACUCCACAUCUUUGACUGGCUGCAGCUUUGGGGUUCUUACUGGGGUGCAUUUCUGUGGAGUGAAACACCUGUUGAUUCAAAUGGAUGAACCAAGAGCAAGCUGAACUGACAGCUAGGAUGGAAUUUACCAGCUUUACUAGCAAGGGCAAAGACCCUUCUAACUACUGUACAGCUGCGAACUUGAAGACUCAGAGCUCCAAUGCGAUAUUUUUGUAUUUAUCUAAAGUAAUGUCUGUGUGAGCAUUUGCAAGCAGAAGUGAGUUUUCUCCAUCGUUAUCCUGAGCUGACUGGAAGCCAUAUAGCAAACUAGUGUGGCAUUAGGCCUAAACUAACAUAGCCUGCUUCCCAGCUGAACUUUAUUAGCUUGGGCUUGGUGCCCUGCUAACCACAGCUGUGGGUUUCUUGUCAGCUUGGAGUAGAGGCAGAACAAGCUCGUGCCUCUUUAUAGGUAGUCCUAUAGGGUUUUAAUGUUUGUGAAUAGUGCUACCAUUAGAAAGUUGAAUGUUUCUUCUUUCUCUCUUCAGAACAAAUUUCGGAGUAAGUUGCCUAUCCUUUCAUUUACAUCCUUUGUAUCAGCAAAUGUAUUUUUCAGUCUUUGUCUGCUUUUCUUGUCAGUCCUUAUUUGUCAUUAACUAGUCCUUUUUCUUUCACCCGUGCUCUUUUUACAUUUAAAUAGUCUUAAUUUUUUUUUCAGCUUCUAUAACCAAAAAAGGCAACUCUAGAUUAACAAAGAGAGCUGAGGAAAGACUUGAGAAUUCACGUGGAAGAAAAAUGAUGUUUCUUUGAAAUUGCUUCAAAUGUUUAAUCUACAUCUCUGACCUAGAAGUUGGCUUGUUUGUAAAUAGAGCCCAUCCCAACAUUUUCUAAUUUUUCAUUUAAAAGCACACUGCUGGAAACUGCCUAUUUGUUAAAAUCAAACCUGGCUUU